UACGUAUGGAGCAAGCGUUAUCCGGAUUUACUGGGUGUAAAGGGAGCGCAGGCGGUCUGGCAAGUCUGAUGUGAAAGGCCGGGGCUCAACCCCGGGACUGCAUUGGAAACUGUCAGACUGGAGUGUCGGAGAGGUAAGCGGAAUUCCUAGUGUAGCGGUGAAAUGCGUAGAUAUUAGGAGGAACACCAGUGGCGAAGGCGGCUUACUGGACGAUGACUGACGCUGAGGCUCGAAAGCGUGGGGAGCAAACAGG
rnacentral:rRNA from 1 species